UACGUAGGGCGCAAGCGUUGUCCGGAAUUAUUGGGCGUAAAGAGCUCGUAGGUGGCCAACUAAGUCGAACGUGAAAUCCCUCAGCUUAACUGGGGAACUGCGUCCGAUACUGGCAGGCUUGAAUCCGGGAGAGGGAUGUGGAAUUCCAGGUGUAGCGGUGAAAUGCGUAGAUAUCUGGAGGAACACCGGUGGCGAAGGCGGCAUCCUGGACCGGUAUUGACGCUGAGGCGCGAAAGCUAGGGGAGCAAACGGG
rnacentral:rRNA from 1 species